rnacentral:rRNA from 1 species
GAGACUCUGUGCGCGUGCAUAUCAAUAAGCGGAGGAAAAGAAACUAACAAGGAUUCCCUUAGUAACGGCGAGUGAAGCGGGAAGAGCUCAAAUUUGAAAUCUUCAAGGCUCUACCUUGACGAAUUGUAGUUUAUAGAAGUGUUUUCUGUUAGUAGAGUGGCAAAAGUUCUUUGGAAUAGGACAUCAUAGAGGGUGAGAAUCCCGUAUUUGGUCAUUCUUUCUAGCUUUGUGAUACACUUUCAACGAGUCGGAUUGUUUGGGAAUGCAGUCCAAAAUGGGUGGUAUAUUUCAUCUAAAGCUAAAUAUUGGCGAGAGACCGAUAGCGAACAAGUACCGUGAGGGAAAGAUGAAAAGAACUUUGAAAAGAGAGUUAAACAGUACGUGAAAUUGUCAAAAGGGAAGCGUUUGACACCAGUGUUGUUUUUCCGAAAAUCAAUUACGAAUGUUUUGUUUUUAAGAAGUUAUGACUUCAUCGGCUUGCUUCUUUCUUUACGAAACUUUCUUAAUGCACUUUUCGGUUAACAAGUCAACAUCAAUUUCUUUUGUUGUAAAAGGGUAUGAGGAAGGUGGCUUUACUUUCGGAGUAAAGUGUUUAUAGCCUUGUAACUCUGCAAUCGGAGAGAUUGAGGUCUGCAGCGUAGAUCCUUCGGGGUUAGAUACAUUUGUGCUAAGUUAUAGCUUUUCAUAGACAACUUGUUGACUAUGUUAGUCUUGUAGAUUACUCGCAUAUGCUAUUUUACCUACGCUUAGGAUGUUGAAGAUGUAGCACAUCAU